GGGGGGGGGGGGGGGGGGGCGUGGCGGGGGGGGGGCGGGCGGGGGGGGGGGGCUUGCUCCUGGAGGCAGCGGCGGACGGGGGAGUAAUGCCGAGGAAUCGGCCUGGGAGUGGGGGAUAACGUCCGGAAACGGGCGCUAAUACCGCAUACGUCCGGAGGGAGAACGUGGGGGAUCUUCGGACCUCACGCUAUCAGAUGAGCCUAGGUCGGAUUAGCUAGGUGGUGGGGUAAAGGCCUACCAAGGCGACGAUCCGUAACUGGUCUGAGAGGAUGAUCCGUCACACUGGAACUGAGACACGGUCCAGACUCCUACGGGAGGCAGCAGUGGGGAAUAUUGGACAAUGGGCGAAAGCCUGAUCCAGCCAUGCCGCGUGUGUGAAGAAGGUCUUCGGAUUGUAAAGCACUUUAAGUUGGGAGGAAGGGCAGUAAGUUAAUACCUUGCUGUUUUGACGUUACCAACAGAAUAAGCACCGGCUAACUUCGUG
rnacentral:rRNA from 1 species